AUUGAACGCUGGCGGCAUGCCUUACACAUGCAAGUCGAACGGUAACAGGUUAAGCUGACGAGUGGCGAACGGGUGAGUAAUGUAUCGGAACGUGCCCAGUCGUGGGGGAUAACUGCUCGAAAGAGCAGCUAAUACCGCAUACGACCUGAGGGUGAAAGCGGGGGAUCGCAAGACCUCGCGCGAUUGGAGCGGCCGAUAUCAGAUUAGGUAGUUGGUGAGGUAAAGGCUCACCAAGCCGACGAUCUGUAGCUGGUCUGAGAGGACGACCAGCCACACUGGGACUGAGACACGGCCCAGACUCCUACGGGAGGCAGCAGUGGGGAAUUUUGGACGAUGGGCGCAAGCCUGAUCCAGCCAUGCCGCGUGCGGGAAGAAGGCCUUCGGGUUGUAAACCGCUUUUGUCAGGGAAGAAAAGGUUCUGGCUAAUACCUGGGACUCAUGACGGUACCUGAAGAAUAAGCACCGGCUAACUACGUG
rnacentral:rRNA from 1 species